rnacentral:rRNA from 1 species
UACGUAGGGUGCAAGCGUUAAUCGGAAUUACUGGGCGUAAAGCGUGCGCAGGCGGUUAUAUAAGACAGUUGUGAAAUCCCCGGGCUCAACCUGGGAACUGCAUCUGUGACUGUAUAGCUAGGAGUACGGUAGAGGGGGAUGGAAUUCCGCGUGUAGCAGUGAAAUGCGUAGAUAUGCGGAGGAACACCGAUGGCGAAGGCAAUCCCCUGGACCUGUACUGACGCUCAUGCACGAAAGCUAGGGGAGCAAACAGG